UAACGACAAGGGAGAAGCAGCCUGAUCUUGGACAUUGCGUCGUCCAUUUCUCGCCAUAAAUCUUUCAAUCUCACAAAAUCCGUCAUCAGAUCAGCUACAGACAUGCAUGUAUGUGUUGUUUUAUUUUGAAGGGAAUUUGUUGCUACAGAAUUCUGAAUUCCGUACUUACCCUGAUGUUUCCGUUGCGAGAUUUUGAUUUCUAGUUUCGGUAUGUUUGUAAUUGCAUCCCGUCGCGAAUUUGCAUCGAGAUUUCUGUAGAAUAGUUGAUUCGUGCCUGAUUGCGGUGGAAUCUUGAGGCUCGGUAGCAUUAAACCUUUAGGGUUUCAAUUAAUUUUAUUUUUUUUGUAAUUUUUUAGGGGGUGAGGUUGGGGGUUGUGUAGUUUGUAUGGGGAAUAAAUUGGGGAGGAGGAGGCAAGUGGUGGAUGAGAAGUACACCAGGCCUCAGGGGUUGUAUCAACACAAAAAUGUGGAUCACAAGAAGCUUAGGAAGCUGAUUCUGGACUCGAAGCUGGCACCGUGUUACCCUGGCGAUGAUGAUUGUGGUGGUUGUGACCUCGAGGAAUGCCCUAUUUGCUUCUUGUACUAUCCAAGUCUCAACCGGUCAAGAUGUUGUAUGAAAGGCAUUUGCACGGAAUGUUUUCUGCAGAUGAAGACUCCCAAUUCUACUCAGCCUACACAAUGUCCGUUUUGCAAAACCCCAAAUUAUGCUGUGGAGUAUCGAGGUGUUAAGACAAAGGAGGAGAAAGGCUUGGAGCAACUUGAAGAACAGCGCGUUAUAGAAGCUAAAAUAAGGAUGAGGAAGCAAGAACUUCAGGAUGAAGAGGAAAGGAUGUUGAAACGAAGAGAAAUGAACUCUUCUUGCAGUAUGAGAGGAUCAGCUGAAGUUGACCAUUGCUCGACACGAGUGUCAUCUUUUGCUUCUGCCAUAGAAAGUGAAGAAUUUUCUGGCUUAUGCGAACCCAGCGUCAAUCCGCCCAUAAGACUGCCACCACGCCCAAGGCAAACUAGGGAGGAUGGAUUCGAUCUUGAUCUUGAGGACAUAAUGGUUAUGGAAGCUAUUUGGCUUUCUAUUCAGGAAGCUGGUAGGCGCCGGGAUCCACAUUACAGCGAUGCACCUCAGUCGACAAAUUAUGCAGCAGAAGAUUGCCGCUCGUUGGCAGCAAUGACUGCAGCUUCAUCGUCGUCUUCACCUUCUAGUGGCCUGGCUUGUGCAAUCGCUGCCCUUGCCGAGCGCCAACAGACGAGCGCUGAGGCCUCCGAUCACCAAAUGUCCACAUUCAACGCCCCAGGCUGCAGCACUUAUUCUGAUCCCGAACAAGAAUCCGAAAACUAUUUCCCUGCAGCUCAGCUGGCCGAGGUGGGAACUUGUUAUAGAGGUGGCUCGGUUGAAUUCCCCGGCUCUGUUGAACGCCAAGAAGAUGAAUAUCAGUGCGCCAUUGUUCCCGAAAGCUUCGAGGAGCAGAUGAUGCUAGCCAUGGCUGUUUCCCUGGCCGAGGCCCGGGUAGGAAAUGGUACACCCGGUGUUGCUUGGCGAUAGCACUUGAGAUCGAGGCUUCCCUUCUUGGCAAUCAAUGUCUUAUUACAUUAUUCGCCGUGGGAUUCUGUCCUAAUACCUGUAAGUCAUCUCUUUCAAGUUUUGUCGAGAAUCUGUCUAUACAAAAUGGCUAUGUGGUUGUUACAGCUUUUUAUUUUUUUUGGCGGGAAAUGCUACGAGGCUCGCCUACGAGCGCAGUUGGGCUGGUAAUGUAAGGUAGAGUUUGUUGUGGAUGGAAGAAAAAAAGGAUAAGAAGUACUGGAAAAUGUAAUUUUUCUGGUAAGUGUUUUGGAUUGUUAUUUUGGAUGUGAUAUUCUAGCAAAUGAAACUUCUUACGUUUA